rnacentral:lncRNA from 1 species
UGGUUAUAGAUAUCCUAUUAUAGCUACAAAAUUUGGUGGCAAGCACUGAAUUUCAUUAACUUGAGGAAGAUAAAGGGGUGAUGUACUCAUGAAUGCUUGCAUGACAUGACCAAGAGCAACACCACCUAGCAAAUUAUAUGAACUAGAGUACCAGGAAACAAAAAGUGUGAAAGCAUAGAAUAUGAGCAAUUCUUGGAAGAAUGUAGAGUUUGAUGUGAGAU